rnacentral:rRNA from 1 species
UCCGCAAUGCGCGAAAGCGUGACAGGGCUAUCCCGAGUGCUGUCCGCUGAGGGCAACUUUUGUUCGGUGUAAGGAGCCGGACGAAUAAGGGGAGGGCAAGUCUGGUGUCAGCCGCCGCGGUAAUACCAGCUCCCCGAGUGGUUGGGACGAUUAUUUGGUCUAAAGCGUUCGUAGCCGGUUGGAGAAAUUCUCCGCGUUAAAUCCAACGAUCCAAUCGUUGGGCUGCGGAGAUUACUCUCCAGCUUGGGGGCGGAAGGAUGUCAACGGUAUUCCCGGGGUAGGGGCCGAAAUCCCUAUAAUCCCCGGGAGGACCACCAGUGGCGAAGGCGGUCGACAAAUACGCGCCCGACGGUGAGGGACGAAAGCUGGGGGAGCGAACGGGAUUAGAUACCCCGGUAGUCCCAGCUGUAAACGAUGCAGGCUANGUGUUAGGACGGCUACGGGCCGUUCUAGUGCCGCAGGGAAGCCGUUAAGUCUGCCACCUGGGAAGUACGGUCGCAAGGCUGAAACUUAAAGGAAUUGGCGGGGGAGC